CAGGUACAGUCUGUGUGUGUGUGUACAGGUACAGUCUGUGUGUACAGGUACAUGUUGUGUGUACAGGUACAUGUUGUGUGUACAGGUACAUGCUGUGUGUACAGGUACAGUCUGUGUGUACAGGUACAGUCUGACCUGUGACACACAGCAGGUGUCUGACUUUAACCUUUGACCUCUGACAUCCCAGCAUGCAUCUUCCACUCCUGACUUCUGGAUCAUUCCAAACAUUUCCAGGCUUUUCAAGGACCUGGACCUUGAGUGAAGUCGGCCUGACGACAGCAGCUGUCUCUAACGAGGACGCUCCUUAAAGGGCCGGGACAUUUAAAGGACGGCAGCCUGCGUGCUAACCGUAACUGAAGCUAAGCUAGUUACGUUACGGCUGGUUACGUUAGCGUU